AUCCUGGCUCAGGAUGAACGCUGGCGGCAUGCCUAAGACAUGCAAGUCGAACGAGAUGGCCCAGUGAAGGUUGAGUGCUUGCACAAGACUGAAUCUGGAUUCCCAUCUAGUGGCAGACGGGUGAGUAACACGUGGGUGACCUACCUUUUCGUUGGGGAUAACAGUUGGAAACGAUUGCUAAUACCGAAUAAAAUGUAAGAGUCAAUUUUACAUUGAAAGGAGCCUUUAAAGCUUCGCGAUUAGAUGGGCCUGCGGCGUAUUAACUAGUUGGUGAGGUAAUGGCUUACCAAGGUGACGAUGCGUAGCCGAACUGAGAGGUUGAUCGGCCACAUUGGGACUGAGACACGGCCCAAACUCCUACGGGAGACAGCAGUUAGGAAUAUUCGUCAAUGGAGGAAACUCUGAACGAGCAAUGCCGCGUGAGUGAUGAAGGUCUUAUAGAUUGUAAAACUCUGUUGUAUGGAAAAAACGGCUAGGUUAGGAAAUGAACUUAGUGUGAUGGUACCAUACCAGAAAGCCCCGGCUAACUACGUGCCAGCAGCCGCGGUAAUACGUAGGGGGCGAGCGUUAUCCGGAUUUAUUGGGCGUAAAGCGUGUGUAGGCGGUUUAUUAAGUUUAAGAUUAAAGCCCGGGGCUCAACUCCGGUAAGUCUUAAAAACUGGUAGACUUGAGUACGGUAGAGGCAAACGGAAUUUCUAGUGUAGCGGUGAAAUGCGUAGAUAUUAGAAGGAACACCAGUGGCGAAAGCGGUUUGCUGGGCCGUUACUGACGCUGAGGCACGAAAGCGUGGGGAGCAAAUAGGAUUAGAUACCCUAGUAGUCCACGCC
rnacentral:rRNA from 1 species